GCCCGUGGCUCAGUGGUUAGAGCGUUGGACUUCUGAUCAACAGGUCGUGGGUUCAAGCCCCGGGUGGGGCA
rnacentral:tRNA from 1 species